rnacentral:lncRNA from 1 species
CGCGCCCUGUGGAGGCGAAGCUCCCGCCGCGCGCGCGCUGAGGCGCCGUUGGGCCUGUGAGGGGCCGUGGCGACCGUUGGUGCGCAACUCUCCCUCCCUGCCCUCCGGGACGGCCCUCAGGGAGGCCGCUUCCCGCCCCGAGGGGAAACCCGCUGCUUUCUCCUCGCCAGCCGCGGGGCUGGGGACUGCGGGGAGGUGGAGGCGCCUCGGGCCCGUCCCGGUGCUUGGCGGGGGGGGGAGUCACGGCCUGGCCCCGUGCUGCGAGGCCUCGCCGCUCGCCUCCUGUUUGCUCCGGGUGACUCAGCAGGCUCCGGACUGUAUUUGACCUCCAGAGUUCUCGAAUAACUUCUUUAGAGGAAGUCACAAAUGCUGAAUGUUGGAAACUACAUCUAUACAGCGCUAAAAGAAGGAAAUUCUUGAAAACCUGGAAGAUGAGAGAUCACUUCUUCAGGGGGCUCACAGAUUUAUAUAAAUGAAACUUUAAGGCCAAAAGGGAUUGUUAAAAUCAUGUUGUUUAGCUGGGCCACAGGGUCAGAGUGAUUCCUGUGUUCAAUUUUAACUUCUGGCUGAUGCACAAGUUCCUGGGAUAGGAGUUAAUAACCAUCACUGUUAAAAGACACCAUAUUUCUAGUUUCACUGUUUAGUUUAACUUUCUGCCACUGGAUUGUAUUAUGUUUUGCCUGCUGUCUGAACAGAUUCUUUAUUAUGAAAAGACCUCCUUGCAGAGAAAACUUAGAGAGUGUUCAAUUCUUAAGCUCAAUUUAUUUUUAACAGAAAAUUAAACAAUUGGUUUAUACUUCUUAGAUUUCUCUCUCCAAAUCACUUUUGUGUGUCUUUUGUCAACCUCAAAUUUUUCCAAUAUUCUUUUUAAAUUAUGAACACCAAAAAUAGACUUACUGUUGCUGAACAUCAUAGUAAAUCACCUCAAUAUUUCUAGUGGAUAUCCCCGCCUAACUGAAGCAGUAAAAGACUGAUUUACGAAACAUUCAAAAAGGGUGUGACGUUUAACUGGUUAGCCACUGUAUCCCCCUACAGUUGUCUUAGGGUUAUUAUUUCCAAUGUGACAGCCCUACAUCUUACAUUCUUUGACCUGUACCUGUAACUUGGCAUUUGAUUAUAUUAAAAGAAUCAUACAAAUGAACCCAGGUUAUUAAGCACUGCAGAUCUCACUGUAGUUAAUUCAUCUGUAUGAUGUUUAGAUUUUUCUGCUAUCUGCAAUGAUAAAUACUGAAUGAUUCUUAAUGUAGCCCUCAAAGCAAGGAUGUGGUCAAGGUACUAUCAAAACAGAAUUACUAGAUGAAAGCUAAUAAUGUGAAUCUGUGAUA